UGGAGGUGAUGCCAGACGCAUUUCCAGUCACAGCGACCGUUUGCGUCGCGCCGCUGGAAAUGCCUUAGCUCCACGAUCGUUUCCCGUUCCGCCCAUCCUGGCGAGUGUCGCGCACCCGCGCCGGCGUGUCCGAUCUGCUGGUCCUUGCCGGCGUGUCCGAUCUGCUGGUCCUUGCCGGCGUGCCCCUUGGCCGUUCGAGCCUGCCCGCUGUCCAUCGGAUCUGGUUCAUUAGACACCAGGCACGCGCCAAGAUCUCAAAUCACAAGCAAUCAAGGGUAAAUAAUGACAAGAACAAAGUGUCUAUCUGAAAGGAAGAAGAAAAGACAGAGAUUAGAUGCAGAAUAUGAGUCUCGAAAGUCUCAAAUAAAUUCUGAAAUUAAACUCCAGUUGCUAAUGUUGAAUGAAGAUGAGUUAUAAAGAUAUGGUUGAAAGAUUUUAUUUCAAGAAACAUCAGCCGGAUGAUGCUUUUAAGUACAGUAUGAGGUUCAUUUAUUAUUUUAGUGCUAUAAAUGCUCUUUUAAAUCAAAUACAUGAUAUAUAUUUAAACAUUGCA